rnacentral:rRNA from 1 species
GCCUACGGGGCGCAGCAGUGAGGAAUAUUGGUCAAUGGGCGAGAGCCUGAACCAGCCAAGUCGCGUGAGGGAAGACGGUCCUAUGGAUUGUAAACCUCUUUUGCCGGGGAGCAAAAAGCGGUGCGUGUACCGCAUCGAGAGUACCCGGAGAAAAAGCAUCGGCUAACUCCGUGCCAGCAGCCGCGGUAAUACGGAGGAUGCGAGCGUUAUCCGGAUUUAUUGGGUUUAAAGGGUGCGCAGGCGGCGAGUUAAGUCAGCGGUAAAAUUUCGGGGCUCAACCCUGACGAGCCGUUGAAACCGGCUUG